CUCGGGAGGCAGCAGUAGGGAAUAUUGGACAAUGGGGGCAACCCUGAUCCAGCCAUGCCGCGUGUGUGAAGAAGGCUUUCGGGUUGUAAAGCACUUUCAGUGAGGAGGAAAACCUUAUGGCUAAUACCCAUGAGGCUUGACGUUACUCACAGAAGAAGCACCGGCUAACUCCGUGCCAGCAGCCGCGGUAAU
rnacentral:rRNA from 1 species